AUUGAACGCUGGCGGCAUGCCUUACACAUGCAAGUCGAACGGGAACAGGUCUUCGGAUGCUGACGAGCGGCGAACGGGUGAGUAAUACAUCGGAACGUGCCUAGUAGUGGGGGAUAACAACUCGAAAGAGUGGCUAAUACCGCAUGAGAUCUACGGAUGAAAGCAGGGGAUCGCAAGACCUUGUGCUACUAGAGCGGCCGAUGGCAGAUUAGGUAGUUGGUGGGAUAAAAGCUUACCAAGCCGACGAUCUGUAGCUGGUCUGAGAGGACGAUCAGCCACACUGGGACUGAGACACGGCCCAGACUCCUACGGGAGGCAGCAGUGGGGAAUUUUGGACAAUGGGCGAAAGCCUGAUCCAGCAAUGCCGCGUGCAGGAUGAAGGCCUUCGGGUUGUAAACUGCUUUUGUACGGAACGAAAAGCCCCGGGUUAAUACCCUGGGGUCAUGACGGUACCGUAAGAAUAAGCACCGGCUAACUACGUGCCAGCCGCCGCCGUAA
rnacentral:rRNA from 1 species